rnacentral:rRNA from 1 species
UAGGGAAUAUUGGACAAUGGGCGCAAGCCUGAUCCAGCCAUGCCGCGUGAGUGAUGAAGGCCUUAGGGUUGUAAAGCUCUUUCAGUGGGGAAGAUAAUGACGGUACCCACAGAAGAAGCCCCGGCUAACUUCGUGCCAGCAGCCGCGGUAAUACGAAGGGGGCUAGCGUUGUUCGGAUUUACUGGGCGUAAAGCGCACGUAGGCGGAUUGUUAAGUCGGGGGUGAAAUCCCAGGGCUCAACCCUGGAACUGCCUUCGAUACUGGCAAUCUCGAGUCCGGAAGAGGUGAGUGGAACUCCUAGUGUAGAGGUGGAAUUCGUAGAUAUUAGGAAGAACACCAGUGGCGAAGGCGGCUCACUGGUCCGGAACUGACGCUGAGGUGCGAAAGCGUGGGGAGCAAACA